UCCAUCCUCUCUUCCUUCCUCUCCUUCCCAUGCCAUUGCACAUGGUCGCCGACUGAUGGAUUCAUCAAAAAAUCCAAGAAAAGAAAAAUCCCUGCUUUUCUCUAUUUUGAAUGAGCCUUCUCCCUCUCUUUUUCGGCCACCAGCGCCGUCGCUCAUGGUGCCGCACCCAUGCGUCAUGACCCCCACCUCCGUAGCUUCCUUCUCUGGAAGUUUGGCCAACG
rnacentral:lncRNA from 1 species